UACGUAGAUGGCAAGCGUUGUCCGGAAUUAUUGGGCGUAAAGCGCGCGCAGGCGGCCUCUUAAGUCUGAUGUGAAAGCCCCCCGGCUCAACCGGGGGAGGGCCAUUGGAAACUGGGAGGCUUGAGUAUAGGAGAGAAGAGUGGAAUUCCACGUGUAGCGGUGAAAUGCGUAGAGAUGUGGAGGAACACCAGUGGCGAAGGCGACUCUUUGGCCUAUAACUGACGCUGAGGCGCGAAAGCGUGGGGAGCAAACAGG
rnacentral:rRNA from 1 species